AUAUUAAUAAGCGGAGGAAAAGAAACUAACCAGGAUUCCCCUAGUAACGGCGAGUGAAGCGGGAAGAGCCCAGCACCGAAUCGCACGCCGCUUCGGCGUCGCGAACUGUGGUGUUUAGGACGAGCGCAUGCGCGGCGAGACGGCGUCAGAGUCCUCCUGAUCGGGGCCUUACCCAAAGCGGGUGCAAGGCCUCUACGGCUUGCGGCCGGUUCUCGAAGGUCGUCCUAGGAGUCGGGUUGUUGCGAG
rnacentral:rRNA from 1 species